CGAGCUCGCCAGACAGUCGCCGCCGGUUUAUCCGGGGGAGGAAAGUCCGGGCUCCGCAGGGCAAGGUGCCAGGUAACUCCUGGGCGGCGUGAGCCGACGGAAAGUGCAACAGAAAGUAGACCGCCUAAGUGCUCGUGACCAGUUCACGGGUGCCGGUAAGGGUGAAACGGUGCGGUAAGAGCGCACCGCGUGGCUGGCAACAGUCCACGGCGAUGGUAAACCCCACCUGGAGCAAGACCAAAUAGGAGUCCUAUGGCGUGGCCCGCGCUGGACUCGGGUAGGUUGCUUGAGGCCUGUGGUGACGCAGGCCCUAGAUGAAUGACUGUCCACGACAGAACCCGGCUUAUCGGCGAGCUCGCCUU
rnacentral:RNase_P_RNA from 1 species